AAAUUACAUAUGAACAACUUGUUGCAAUUGGUUUCAGCCAAAAACAAAACCCAUUCUUAGUCUAGAACUAUAUUCUUAGAAAUUAUAAACUAAGUCAUACGGAGAAAAAUAUGCAGGAGAUUAUUGCCAACGUCAACGUUUCUUUAUCCGGGAAAAAGGCUGAGAAAAUAAAGAAAAGCAAACGGAAACGGUAGGCGCAAAGGUGAACCCCGUUGGAAAGUUGCUAAAACUAUUUUUAGUGAGGUAACAAAAACCAACAAAAAAAAACUAUUCACAGUUUCUCUUUUUUACUUCUUUUCUAAUCUCUCUCUUCCACUUUUAUGUGUUGAUGUUGUUAGAUCUGAGGUCUAUUAAAAUCCGAAUCCUUUCGAUCUCUUCUCUUAUUCCAUCACAACCAUCUAGGGUUUUAAGCCAAGCUUAUAUAGCCCAUCAUAACGAGAACUCAUCUGCCUCUAUCUCUCUCUCUCAAUACCAAUAAAUAUCACCACCGUCCUUCUCUCCCAUCACUAUUCCAUCUAUCAAAAUACUCUUUUGUGUCUCUCCAAUUUUAUGAGAGGGUUUCCUUCAAGAACACUGGAAAUAGAUUGGAUCUUUAAACUUUUGUUCCUUUUCAUGAGGGUUUGACAAAGAGUUUCUUACAGACAUCUUUGGCAUUCUGUCCACCUCCUCCUGUACAUGUGUGUAUAUAUAUGUGUUUUGUGUGGAAGAAGGAGGUGGGUAUACUGCCAAUAGAGAUCUGUUAGGGUUUCUUCGUAAAACCCUCUUGAUCUAUAUACAACUUUAUCAAUGUCUUGAAUCUGACGAUCUUGACUUGUUUCUUGGCUAUGAAGAGCCUCGAUCUAGGGUGAUUUUACGAUUAACCAUCUUCUUGAUUCUCUCGAUUCUCUUUGUUUGAGUUCAUACAUAAAGUUGAUUUUUAAUAUUGAUCCUAUUCACUGUUUCUUUAUGUUGAGCUCUUCAUUUCAUUUCUUGAUUCUGUUACAUAGUUUUUUUAAGCCAUGUAUAACCUUCGAUUUUUCCUCAUUUAUAGUGAGUAGUCUUUGGACUAUAUAGUCUUCUAGAAAAAGGUUAAAACAGUAAGAAAAAGAGAAGGACCCAGAAUUUCAAAAAGGUAUGCAAAGGUUUUGUUUUACUUUGAGAAAUGGUAAUGUGGGAAAGGAGAAGCAUCUUGUUUUGAAGUCCACGAUGUUAUCAUGAUGUUCCCUUAUUCGAUUUGAGGUUGAAGAAACAGUAGUAGAGAUUACGUGUACUCCUUCAUUUGGUAUCAUUUCUGACCUAUCUACACAAAGUUACUUGCUUUAUUUUGAUCAUGAGUUGAAAAUAAUUCAUAUUUGUUUAUAGUUUCCACUAAGAUUUGUUCGUUGAUCAUAGUUAUUUGGGUAUGCAUGUAUCACAUUUUAUGAUAGUUAAUUAAUGCUGGUUAGUAAAUGGUGGUUAUCAGUGCUUUAAGUUUGGCAUUUCUGGUUUUGCGUUACUACAUUAGAUCAUAAAUUUGCACACUUUGUAUUUAAAUGUUCAAAAUAUAUAAUCAGCUGAGCAAGAAAGAAAGUGUUCUAAGUUAGGAGCUUUCCAAUUAAUAAGAAAAAAAUUAUGUUCUCCAGAUCAAUACUCACAUCUAUAUCUAAUGUUUUUUCCUAUCAAGGAACGAAGAGUUUGCUAUUUUAAUUUGCAUGGAGCUACAAUAUGAGAGAGAUUCUGUUGAUCAUAAAUUUUUCAUUUGGCACGAAGGUGUGUGAAUAUCCAGAGCCUGUAGAAAUUCGUACAUAAUCAGAGAAUGAUAUUGCUCUCCCACUUGAUCAAUGAAUUGGUGAAGAAUGUUGUGAUGAUAUCAUAAAGGAUACUCACUUAUGAAGCCACAUAAUCCCAAAUCAUUAAUGUUUGUUGUCUCAUGACUCUCAUUUUCCACAAAUGUUGUAAAUUGGGUAUUAUGUAAUGUAUUUAACAAUCUCUCAAUUUGUGAAAGAGAACCAGUUUGGGUUUAAUAUUCAUGAAUUAUAGGGUUCAUAUAAAAGAUUUUGGUACUUCGAUGAAUUUCAAAGUUUUGUAAAGUUUGCUCUACAUAAUACUUCACCACUCUUGACGUUUACUUA